UACGUAGGGUGCAAGCGUUAAUCGGAAUUACUGGGCGUAAAGGGUGCGCAGGCGCUCCGCAUGUCGGGCGUGAAAUCCCCGGGCUUAACCUGGGAAUUGCGUCCGAAACUAUGGAGCUGGAGUGUGGCAGAGGGAGGUGGAAUUCCACGUGUAGCGGUGAAAUGCGUAGAGAUGUGGAGGAACACCGAUGGCGAAGGCAGCCUCCUGGGCCAACACUGACGCUCAUGCACGAAAGCGUGGGGAGCAAACAGG
rnacentral:rRNA from 1 species